rnacentral:lncRNA from 1 species
AGUACUGAAUGGUUUAUGCAGACCAAGUAUUCCCAAUUUUAUCUUAACAGUUGUCUCAAAUCCAUUCCUAGUAAUAAAAUGAACAAGCUUACAGUUCCAAUUUAAAGUACUACACUGUUAAAAUUUUACAUAGCCAUUUUAUAGAAAAACCAAAGCAACAGAAUAUUACUCUCCACAAGAUUAUUAAUUGUUAAUUAUUAACUAUUAACCUCCACAAGAUCUCUUUUAUCAGUUACCAUGUCUGUAACAUAGUGGGUUGAUGUUAGCUGGAUAGCAGGUGCCCACGAAGCCGCUCCAACAACUCCCCUCCUCAGCCAGACAAGAGAGGGAAAAAUACAACACAAGGCUCAUGGGUGGGAGAUCACUCACCAAUUACCAUCAUGGGCAAAACAGGCUCGACCUGGGGAAAUUAGCUGAAUUUAUUGUCAAUCAAAUCAGAGUAGGGUAACGAGAAAUAAAACACCUUCCCCCCACCCCUCCCUUCUUUCCAGGCUCAAAUUCACUCCCAAUUCUCUCCACCUCCUCCCCUCCAGUGGUGCAGGAGGAAUGGGGGUUGUGGUCAGUUCAUCACAUUGUCUCUGCCGCUCCUUCCACCUCACACACUUUCCUACUCCAGUGUGGGGUCCCUCCCCUGAAGCAGAGUCCUCUGAAAUUCUCCGAUGUGAGUCCUUCCCAUGGGCUGCAGUUCUUCAAGAACAGGCUGCUUCAGCGUGGGCUUCCCACAGGGUCACAGCCUCCUUCAGGCACCCCCCUUCUCCGACAUCGGGUCCUCCCCGGGCUGCAGGUCAAUAUCUGCUCCACCACUGACCUCCAUGGGCUGCAGGGGGAGAGCCUGCCUCACCAUGGUCUACAUCAUGAACUUCAGGAGAGUAUCUGCUCCAAUGUCUCGAGCAUCUCCUCCCCUCCUCCUUCACUGACCUUGGGGUCUGCAGAGCUGUUCCUCUCACAUAUUCUCACUACUCUCUCCAGCUGCUGUUGCACAGCAGUUUUUUCCCCUUCUUAAAUAUGUUAUCCCAAAGGUGCUACCACUGUCACUGAUGCACAGAAAACAUAGCCCAUCCCACUACUGUUUCAGUUAUAGCUUUGGAAAAUACAACAGAUUUUUAUGAAGAUCGUUAGAGGGCUGAUGUUUCUGAUGGGCUCAGCCUUGGCCAGCAGGGGGUCUGUGUUGGAGCUGUCUAGCAUUGGCUCUAUGAGACUGGGGGAAGCUUCUGGCAUCUUCUCAAAGAAGACACCUCUGUAGCCCCCCGCUACGAAAACCUUGCCAUGCAAACCCAAUAUAGUACAGUAUUACAAUGGCCAUUAAACAAUUUAAAAAUUGCCAUGAGAAUUAGCUUUGCAUUAACAAGAACAUCAGAUACAUGGUAGGAAAUAUGCAACCUGAAGGGACCCCAACACAGCUCCUGAAACAUAAUAAAUCUUAGUAUUGAUAAGGCACAACAGGAGUCCCAGUAGGGCAUCGUUUACUCCAUGUACACCCCACACUGCAUGUCUGCAGUUUCUGUUCUUCGAGCUCUCUAGUCAUGAUGUAAUUCCACCAUUCAACUGUUUCCACUGCACCAUUUACCUGAGUGGUUGUCUCAGCUCCCAGGCACAGGCAACAUAAACCCAUUCCAACAGCUGCUCCUAUGCAGUGACUAGUGCAUUGCCUUUUUUCUCACAGAGAACAUUGUGGAUCAAAGCAUUAUCUUUAGAGAAGAUGCUCCAAUGGAUGGAUAAAUGUUCAGCUCGUUAGCCCAACAGUUGAGACAUUACAGCGCCUAUUCUUAUAGCACAAACUUUUCAGAUUUUUGUAACUGAACAGUCUAGGGAUUCUGGUAUGUGAAACAUAAAACACAUAUAGCAUGAGACCCAGC